rnacentral:rRNA from 1 species
AUGAACGCUAGCUACAGGCUUAACACAUGCAAGUCGAGGGGCAGCAUGGUCUUAGCUUGCUAAGGCCGAUGGCGACCGGCGCACGGGUGAGUAACACGUAUCCAACCUGCCGUCUACUCUUGGACAGCCUUCUGAAAGGAAGAUUAAUACAAGAUGGCAUCAUGAGUCCGCAUGUUCACAUGAUUAAAGGUAUUCCGGUAGACGAUGGGGAUGCGUUCCAUUAGAUAGUAGGCGGGGUAACGGCCCACCUAGUCUUCGAUGGAUAGGGGUUCUGAGAGGAAGGUCCCCCACAUUGGAACUGAGACACGGUCCAAACUCCUACGGGAGGCAGCAGUGAGGAAUAUUGGUCAAUGGGCGAGAGCCUGAACCAGCCAAGUAGCGUGAAGGAUGACUGCCCUAUGGGUUGUAAACUUCUUUUAUAAAGGAAUAAAGUCGGGUAUGUAUACCCGUUUGCAUGUACUUUAUGAAUAAGGAUCGGCUAACUCCGUGCCAGCAGCCGCGGUAAUACGGAGGAUCCGAGCGUUAUCCGGAUUUAUUGGGUUUAAAGGGAGCGUAGAUGGAUGUUUAAGUCAGUUGUGAAAGUUUGCGGCUCAACCGUAAAAUUGCAGUUGAUACUGGAUAUCUUGAGUGCAGUUGAGGCAGGCGGAAUUCGUGGUGUAGCGGUGAAAUGCUUAGAUAUCACGAAGAACUCCGAUUGCGAAGGCAGCCUGCUAAGCUGCAACUGACAUUGAGGCUCGAAAGUGUGGGUAUCAAACAGGAUUAGAUACCCUGGUAGUCCACACCGUAAACGAUGGAUACUAGGUGUAGGAAGCGAUUAUGUUUUCUGUGCCGUCGCAAACGCAGUAAGUAUCCCACCUGAGGAGUACGGCCGCAAGGUUGAAACUCAAAGGAAUUGACGGGGGCCCGCACAAGCGGUGGAGCAUGUGGUUUAAUUCGAUGCAACGCGAAGAACCUUACCUGGUCUUGACAUCCACGGAAGUUUUCAGAGAUGAGAAUGUGCCUUCGGGAACCGUGAGACAGGUGCUGCAUGGUUGUCGUCAGCUCGUGCCGUGAGGUGUCGGCUUAAGUGCCAUAACGAGCGCAACCCUUGUUGUCAGUUACUAACAGGUUUCGCUGAGGACUCUGACAAGACUGCCAUCGUAAGAUGUGAGGAAGGUGGGGAUGACGUCAAAUCAGCACGGCCCUUACGUCCGGGGCUACACACGUGUUACAAUGGGGGGUACAGAGGGCCGCUACCACGCGAGUGGAUGCCAAUCCCAAAAACCUCUCUCAGUUCGGACUGGAGUCUGCAACCCGACUCCACGAAGCUGGAUUCGCUAGUAAUCGCGCAUCAGCCACGGCGCGGUGAAUACGUUCCCGGGCCUUGUACACACCGCCCGUCAAGCCAUGGGAGCCGGGGGUACCUGAAGUGCGUAACCGCGAGGAGCGCCCUAGGGUAAAACUGGUGACUGGGGCU